rnacentral:rRNA from 1 species
AGUGAACGCUGGCGGCAGGCCUAACACAUGCAAGUCGAACGGCAGCACAGGAGAGCUUGCUCUCUGGGUGGCGAGUGGCGGACGGGUGAGGAAUACAUCGGAAUCUGCCUAUACGUGGGGGAUAACGUAGGGAAACUUACGCUAAUACCGCAUACGUCCUACGGGAGAAAGCGGGGGAUCGCAAGACCUCGCGCGGAUAGAUGAGCCGAUGUCCGAUUAGCUAGUUGGCGGGGUAAUGGCCCACCAAGGCGACGAUCGGUAGCUGGUCUGAGAGGAUGAUCAGCCACGCUGGAACUGAGACACGGUCCAG